GAAAAACUUCUGUCCAGUAUUCCUUACUGUCAGCUUGUGCAGAUGAAGGAGUUUUCCACCCUGUUCGCCCUUUCCCUGAAGGUGUUUUUCUUCCUGCGUCCUAUCUAUCUUCUGUGCUUGGUUUCCAAUUCCCUCGCUGAUGAUGUUUGUUCUAUCCUUUUCGGAAGGAAGAUCAUUCUUGAUGGAAAAGAUGAAGCCAUACCGGAAUGAAGUAAUUGUUUUUCUACAUAAUCUGUUUACAUUAAACCAUCUUCUCCAAUAGA